rnacentral:rRNA from 1 species
UACGGAGGGUGCAAGCGUUGUCCGGAUUUAUUGGGUUUAAAGGGUGCGUAGGCGGCUCUUUAAGUCAGUGGUGAAAUCCUGCAGCUUAACUGUAGAAUUGCCAUUGAUACUGGAUAGCUUGAGUACAGACGAGGUAGGCGGAAUUUAUGGUGUAGCGGUGAGAUGCAUAGAUACCAUAAAGAACACCUAUUGCGAAGGCAGCUUACUAGGCUGUAACUGACGCUGAGGCACGAAAGUGUGGGGAUCAAACAGG